AGCUCCAUAGCUCAGUGGGAGAGCGUUCCGUUCACACCGGAAAGGUCGCUGGUUCAAUCCCAGCUGGAGCUA
rnacentral:tRNA from 2 species